AUGCUUUCGGAGGCCAAACUGCAUCGGGUGCAAGUGUCUUCUGGACAGGACAGAGUUGAACAGUCUUCAGAAGAAAUGACUGCGAGUGAAGGAGCUCAAGUUAUUGUAUGGUGUAAUUAUUUUACCACUGAUAAAAACAUAAACCUUUUCUGGUACAAACAACUACCAAACAGAUCACCAACAUUAAUUCUGGGUCAAUACAGCACUGAGCUGGAUUUUAAGAAGAGAUUUUCUGCAACAUUGAACUCUACAUCAUUUCCACUGAUGAUCAAGAACCUACAUGUGUCUGACUCUGCUCUGUACUACUGUGCUCUGAGGCCCACAGUGACAGAAACACACUCAACACUCAGACAAGAACAGAGGAAGUGCUCAGCUAUAUGAUACUUAUGCACAUUCAUCCUACUGUAUAUGAUCUUGUUACAUUUUGAAUCACAAAACAAUAAAGAGAAUAACAUUUCCAACUCA